rnacentral:rRNA from 1 species
GUACCUUCGAAGGAAGCACUGGCUAACUCCGUGCCAGCAGCCGCGGUAAUACGGAGAGUGCAAGCGUUGUUCGGAAUUAUUGGGCGUAAAGCGCGUGUAGGCGGCUCAACAAGUCUGGCGUGAAAGCCCCAAGCUCAACUUGGGAAGUGCGCUGGAAACUGUCGAGCUUGAGUACUGGAGGGGGAAGGGGAAUUGUCGAGUGUAGAGGUGAAAUUCGUAGAUAUUCGGAAGAACAUCAGUGGCGAAGGCGCCUUCCUGGACAGAUACUGACGCUGAGACGCGAAAGCGUGGGGAGCAAACAGGAUUAGAUACCCUGGUAGUCCACGCUGUAAACGAUGGGUGCUAGACGUCGCGGGUAACCAACCCUGCGGUGUCGAAGCUAACGCGAUAAGCACCCCGCCUGGGGAUUACGGCCGCAA